rnacentral:rRNA from 1 species
GAGUUUGAUCCUGGCUCAGAACGAACGCUGGCGGCAGGCCUAACACAUGCAAGUCGAGCGCCCCGCAAGGGGAGCGGCGCACGGGUGAGUAACGCGUGGGAACAUGCCCAGAGGUCGGGAAUAACGGCGGGAAACUGCCGCUAAUACCCGGUAAGCCUUGAGAGGGAAAGGAGCAAUCCGCCUUUGGAGUGGCCCGCGUUGGAUUAGCUAGUUGGUGGGGUAAAAGCCUACCAAGGCGACGAUCCAUAGCUGGUCUGAGAGGAUGAUCAGCCACACUGGGACUGAGACACGGCCCAGACUCCUACGGGAGGCAGCAGUGGGGAGUACUGGACAAUGGGGGAAACCCUGAUCCAGCCAUGCCGCGUGAGUGAAGAAGGCCCUAGGGUUGUAAAGCUCUUUCGACGGGGACGAUGAUGACGGUACCCGUAGAAGAAGCCCCGGCUAACUUCGUGCCAGCAGCCGCCGUAAC